GAUGAAGAACGUAGCGAAAUGCGAUAACUAAUGUGAAUUGCAGAAUUCAGUGAAUCAUCGAGUCUUUGAACGCACAUUGCGCCCUCUGGUAUUCCGGAGGGCAUGCCUGUCCGAGCGUCAUUGCUGCCCUCAAGCACGGCUUGUGUGUUGGGCCCCCGUCCCCCCCCUCUGCCGGGGGGACGGGCCCGAAAGGCAGCGGCGGCACCGCGUCCGGUCCUCGAGCGUAUGGGGCUUCGUCACCCGCUCUUGUAGGCCCGGCCGGCGCCAGCCGACCCCAACCCUAAAUUUUUUUCAGGUUGACCUCGGAUCAGGUAGGGAUACCCGCUGAACUUAAGCAUAUCAAUAAGCGGAGGA
rnacentral:misc_RNA from 1 species